UUAAGCGACUAAGCGUACACGGUGGAUGCCCUGGCAGUCAGAGGCGAUGAAGGACGUGCUAAUCUGCGAUAAGCGUCGGUAAGGUGAUAUGAACCGUUAUAACCGGCGAUUUCCGAAUGGGGAAACCCAGUGUGAUUCGUCACACUAUCAUUAACUGAAUCCAUAGGUUAAUGAGGCGAACCGGGGGAACUGAAACAUCUAAGUACCCCGAGGAAAAGAAAUCAACCGAGAUUCCCCCAGUAGCGGCGAGCGAACGGGGAGGAGCCCAGAGCCUGAAUCAGUGUGUGUGUUAGUGGAAGCGUCUGGAAAGGCGCGCGAUACAGGGUGACAGCCCCGUACACAAAAAUGCACAUACUGUGAGCUCGAUGAGUAGGGCGGGACACGUGGUAUCCUGUCUGAAUAUGGGGGGACCAUCCUCCAAGGCUAAAUACUCCUGACUGACCGAUAGUGAACCAGUACCGUGAGGGAAAGGCGAAAAGAACCCCGGCGAGGGGAGUGAAAAAGAACCUGAAACCGUGUACGUACAAGCAGUGGGAGCACAGAGCAAUCUGUGUGACUGCGUACCUUUUGUAUAAUGGGUCAGCGACUUAUAUUCUGUAGCAAGGUUAACCGAAUAGGGGAGCCGAAGGGAAACCGAGUCUUAACUGGGCGUUAAGUUGCAGGGUAUAGACCCGAAACCCGGUGAUCUAGCCAUGGGCAGGUUGAAGGUUGGGUAACACUAACUGGAGGACCGAACCGACUAAUGUUGAAAAAUUAGCGGAUGACUUGUGGCUGGGGGUGAAAGGCCAAUCAAACCGGGAGAUAGCUGGUUCUCCCCGAAAGCUAUUUAGGUAGCGCCUCGUGAAUUCAUCUCCGGGGGUAGAGCACUGUUUCGGCAAGGGGGUCAUCCCGACUUACCAACCCGAUGCAAACUGCGAAUACCGGAGAAUGUUAUCACGGGAGACACACGGCGGGUGCUAACGUCCGUCGUGAAGAGGGAAACAACCCAGACCGCCAGCUAAGGUCCCAAAGUCAUGGUUAAGUGGGAAACGAUGUGGGAAGGCCCAGACAGCCAGGAUGUUGGCUUAGAAGCAGCCAUCAUUUAAAGAAAGCGUAAUAGCUCACUGGUCGAGUCGGCCUGCGCGGAAGAUGUAACGGGGCUAAACCAUGCACCGAAGCUGCGGCAGCGACGCUGAUGCGUUGUUGGGUAGGGGAGCGUUCUGUAAGCCUGUGAAGGUGUGCUGUGAGGCAUGCUGGAGGUAUCAGAAGUGCGAAUGCUGACAUAAGUAACGAUAAAGCGGGUGAAAAGCCCGCUCGCCGGAAGACCAAGGGUUCCUGUCCAACGUUAAUCGGGGCAGGGUGAGUCGACCCCUAAGGCGAGGCCGAAAGGCGUAGUCGAUGGGAAACAGGUUAAUAUUCCUGUACUUGGUGUUACUGCGAAGGGGGGACGGAGAAGGCUAUGUUGGCCGGGCGACGGUUGUCCCGGUUUAAGCGUGUAGGCUGGUUUUCCAGGCAAAUCCGGAAAAUCAAGGCUGAGGCGUGAUGACGAGGCACUACGGUGCUGAAGCAACAAAUGCCCUGCUUCCAGGAAAAGCCUCUAAGCAUCAGGUAACAUCAAAUCGUACCCCAAACCGACACAGGUGGUCAGGUAGAGAAUACCAAGGCGCUUGAGAGAACUCGGGUGAAGGAACUAGGCAAAAUGGUGCCGUAACUUCGGGAGAAGGCACGCUGAUAUGUAGGUGAAGUCCCUCGCGGAUGGAGCUGAAAUCAGUCGAAGAUACCAGCUGGCUGCAACUGUUUAUUAAAAACACAGCACUGUGCAAACACGAAAGUGGACGUAUACGGUGUGACGCCUGCCCGGUGCCGGAAGGUUAAUUGAUGGGGUUAGCGGUAACGCGAAGCUCUUGAUCGAAGCCCCGGUAAACGGCGGCCGUAACUAUAACGGUCCUAAGGUAGCGAAAUUCCUUGUCGGGUAAGUUCCGACCUGCACGAAUGGCGUAAUGAUGGCCAGGCUGUCUCCACCCGAGACUCAGUGAAAUUGAACUCGCUGUGAAGAUGCAGUGUACCCGCGGCAAGACGGAAAGACCCCGUGAACCUUUACUAUAGCUUGACACUGAACAUUGAGCCUUGAUGUGUAGGAUAGGUGGGAGGCUU
rnacentral:rRNA from 2 species